UACAGAGGAUGCAAGCGUUAUCCGGAAUGAUUGGGCGUAAAGCGUCUGUAGGUGGCUUUUUAAGUCCGCCGUCAAAUCCCAGGGCUCAACUCUGGACAGGCGGUGGAAACUACCAAGCUGGAGUACGGUAGGGGCAGAGGGAAUUUCCGGUGGAGCGGUGAAAUGCGUAGAGAUCGGGAGGAACACCGGUGGCGAAGGCGGGUCUCUGGGCAAUUCCUGACGCUGAGGCGCGAAAGCGUGGGGAGCAAACGGG
rnacentral:rRNA from 1 species